CAUAAAUUUUGGGUGGUGCAUCUGCAGCCACUGUUAUCUGUGUAGCUUCGCCCCUGUACAGCAUCCUCCGCGGCUUCCAUUGAGGCGCCGUCGCCGUCGCCGUCGCGGGGCCGCCGGUCGUCGGCUGAGGCAGCGGAGUGGAAGAAUGCGCAGAGCUUGCUCGUUGGAAGCGCUGGCAGGUCGUCGUGGAAGGAAGACGCGGCGGGGGGCGCAGCGCUCCAUUCUCACAGUCACAGCUUGCUAGGGUGAAAGAAACAUGAGGUAGACUGGAAAGUGGGUACCAGGAGAUCCAGCAACCCGGAUGUACAAGUUAUCAGCAAAGCCGGCCUUCUCCAUGUCAAUGAGGUCCCCAGUCCAAACCAAACACCUUGAUGUGUCGCCAUUACCACCAUUUAUGCUCAAGCUGCCGUAGUCGUAUGCUACACAUGAGCAGUUUCUGCUGCACUCGGCUGCACACUGGUCGAAGCUUCUGUUGCUCAAGUACAUGAACUUAUCAGGAACCUUCAUCGCUGGCAAGGUGAUGAAGCUUCUUGCCCGCAUCUCAGUGCCUCCUUUCUCUGGCAUCCUCUUGAAUAGUUGACAUUGUCGAUGGGCUCGAACCCUUCAGGGCACCGGCAUGUUGGGACAUUGCCUGUGCUGUCGCAGUAGCCGAAUGGACCACACAAGGCAUAGAGAUCGCAGCUGGAAUGGGGUCGCUCAAAAGUGGACAUCCAAGACACAGAGUUGAAUGAAACAUCAGUUUUAUCACUGUGGCGUGUGGACAAGUAGGCGUGCAUGUGGCUACGGUGUCUGCUUUCGAUGUCAGCUAAUCAAUGAUGGUGGAAAUUUUAGUUCACUUUUUUUUUCAUAAAAUUCAUUAUAAGUUGCGUGCUAUUUUUGUGCAUAUUAUUUUUGGAUCCAAUCAUAAAAAUCGGCUCGAAGUCUAGAUAACUGCUAUGCUUUGGAUAAAUGGCAUGGAAGCCUACUGUUCUAUAGACAAUUUUUAAAAGGCUGGAAUAGACAGCGGAUUGGAGAUCAAAGGAAACUUAAUGAUGAUAACAUAACAGAAAGAUUAAAUAAUUUUGGCAAGGAGCUAGAAUCCAGGAAUAUGUCUAAUACAGAGUGGGAAAGAAGAUUUGAAGUGGAGAAACGGCUAGAAGAUAUCUAUCGAAUGAAGGAAAUAUAUUGGAAACAGAGCAUGGUUGCAAAUGGAUCUUACAAGGUUAUUCCAACUCCCAAUUUUUUCUGCCAAUAUGCUAAGAGCAGACGAAGGAAAAGCUAUAUCUUAUCCCAGGUGGCUGAUGAGGAACAGGAAAUAAAAAGAAAAAAAAAGAGAUUAUGGACCUCAUUGUGUCUUUUUACAUGGAGUUGUUUGGCCUAAGCCUACAGUGUACUAUGAAGCUGGCAGGCUCCUUUGGCCGACUCAGUUAACAAAACUGGAUAAGGAGAUGUUGUAACUUCCUUUCUCCAUGAAGGAGAUUAGAACUGCCAUUAUGGAGAUGAGAGAUGAAUCGGUGCCAGGCCCUAAUGGUUUUGGGGUUAAUUUCUUUAAGAAAGACUGGGAUCUAACUAAAAAGAUUUGUAUAAUAUGUUCCUGGACUUUCAUGCUGAGAAUUUGGAUAUUGAGUACUGACUUUAGUUCCUAAGGUAUACACUGUUCAACAUAGACGUGCUUAGUUAUUUAGUAGUGGUAUGGAUUCACACAACACAAUACUCUAUUUUUAUGAGAUACCUUAUCGCUCAUUAUUUAGUCACUAAGUCUUCUGUGUUUUUUAAUUGCCAGGUUGGUCUUUUUUUUCUAUUGAUAAUUUGAUGUAUGCUGAAUUUUGGAUAUCUCAGAAAUCUUGUUUACUCUUCUUCAA